AGGAAUCUAGUGUGAACUUUUCUACCUACUGUACUUCAUGUUGUGGAGAAGAGCAGCCUUCCGGGACCCAUUUUAGAUUGUGGUUUGGUACUGGAGAGGUAAAAGAGAAACUUUUUUCAGUCUAGUUUUUGGUUGGGACUCGUUAUUGACUUAGUAACCCUUAUUCUGUUAUACAGUGUGCUUGGUAGUGUGUGUAUAUAUUUUGCUUACAAUAAAUACAUUUAGACCCCAGACCCCUUAAUAACAGACUGGAUACACUUACCCAGCAGCUUCUCCUCUACCUCCUUGUGGCUCUCUCCUGUAGCUUCAGGGCCUUUAGAAGGUCCUGCAGAAAGAUUUACAAAGCAGUUGUGAUGUUUUUUGCUGUGAUUUGUGGCAUAAAACAUAAUAAAACCACAAUGUGCUUUAAGUCUUCUGGCCAGGGAUCAUUGCACAAAGCAGUUUUGUCACAAUUUUUGUGUAUUUGAUGGUAAAAACCACUAUAAAACCUCAAUUUGCGGCGUCCACCCAAAGCUGUCCAUAUUAUAAGCCGCCAUUGGGAUCUAGCAAAGUUUCAGGGCUCUCUCAUAAACAGAAAUCAUGAGGUACCACUUGGAACUGAACCCGAGUUUGGGAAACAGAUUUUUACAGUAUAAAUCAGUUUCUGAGCACUCGCUCUGUACUGUAUUGAAACGAAGUUUUAUGCGAAUUGACUUUGGAUGUCUCAUCCGAAGUCGAUUCGCUUGUCCCUAGCCAGGACCAUGGGAAGCCACAUAAGCACGCAUUCACAGCCGAUCCUGUCCUGCCACGUUGUAUCUGCGCUGCAGUGGUGACCGUAACCCCUGGAAACAAGCAGUGCACACCGUAAUGUGAUGGAAAAAUUAAUAAAGCCAGUGAAGGAGGCAAUAUGGAUAGUAACAAUACAUUAGUAAGUGCCUUGUGUUAACUUUCUCUACAUGAAAAUGCAAUUUGCUAAAGUGAGACGACCCCUUUAAAGUCUCUUUCCUGUAUUAUUCUGAACUGAAAAUCUGUCCAUUUUGUUUUGCCUUCUAAUAAAUAAAAUACAGCACAAUAAAAUACAAUUUCUCGAGCCUGACUUCUUCCUGUUGUGGUUGGUUUUUCAUGUUGUACAAAUGUCUUUACAAGACUAAUAAAUCCUCUUCUCUAAGUGCCGCCU